CUUCCGGUGACGCACACGCUUCCGGGUUCUCAUUCAUGCUUUCUCCUAGUUUUAGUAGAGUACGCUGGUGGUAACCGUGUUGAGAGCCCUCCCUCCAUAAGCUUCGGGUAGUAGCUGGGGAAGCCCCCUACCGGCCAAUUCGGUUCCCGCAGGCAUUGACUGACUGGAGCUGACGGCUGCCUUGAACGUAUCUGGGUGCCCCCCUGGUGGUGGGAUCUGUUUUUGUGCCGUGACUGACGGCAUAAUACUCCGUGUGGCACUUAGAGGGUGUGUGUGCGCGCGUGCUGGUGACGGGUACCAAGUAUUCACGUGUGCGUUGGUGAUUUUCAGCCUUUCUUCAAGCACCCCAUUCGCCACGGAUAAGCCGCAGCUCCCAGUUCAUUUUACACUUUUAUGCGAUCGUUUUAU